rnacentral:lncRNA from 1 species
GUUUUCUUUUUAAAAAAGGGAAAGUUAUGUUGUUGUUGCUGUAAAAAGAAAAGGUUCGGGCGCGAGGGAGAGAGGGAUUUUGUUUUCACUUUUUGAUUUUUUCUAGGAGAGAUUUGAGAGAAAGAAGUUGUUUUAUGUAUGGAAUUUCCAGAUGUUGUUGCUGUUAACAGACUGGUGCGAGAAAGUAGAAGUUGAUUCUUUAUCUUGACUUUUUUUUCAUCAUCACCUGCCACGUGUCAGAUUGUGGAUGGAGGUCUUAAAAUUUUGAAAACACAUAAAACUCUCCUUUCUCUCUCUCUCUCUGCAUUUGUGCCCGCCGUCCACUCUCACUCUUUUUAUUUUUCUUUCUUUUUCUUC